AUGGAGGAGGAAGAGGUGGUUACGGUGGAGGCGAUGGAUAUAAUGGCUACGGAGGGAAUGGUGGUUAUGGUGGAGGUGGACCUAAUUAUGGUGGCAACCGUGGUUAUGGAGGAGGCAGCGGAGGUGGUGGCGGCGGCUAUGGAAACCAGGGUGGAGGCUACGGUGGUGGCGGCGGUGGCUAUGAUAACUACAACAAUGGUGGUGGAGGCAACUUCGGAGGAGGCAACUUUGGAGGUGGCGGAGGCUACAACGACUUUGGCAACUACAACAAUCAAUCUCCCUCUAACUACGGCCCAAUGA
rnacentral:lncRNA from 12 species